GACGAACGCUGGCGGCGUGCUUAACACAUGCGAGUCGAACGGAAAGGCCCUGCUUUUGUGGGGUGCUCGAGUGGCGAACGGGUGAGUAACACGUGAGUAACCUGCCCUUGACUUUGGGAUAACUUCAGGAAACUGGGGCUAAUACCGGAUAGGAGCUCCUGCUGCAUGGUGGGGGUUGGAAAGUUUCGGCGGUUGGGGAUGGACUCGCGGCUUAUCAGCUUGUUGGUGGGGUAGUGGCUUACCAAGGCUUUGACGGGUAGCCGGCCUGAGAGGGUGACCGGCCACAUUGGGACUGAGAUACGGCCCAGACUGCUACGGGAGGCAGCAGUGGGGAAUAUUGCACAAUGGGCGGAAGCCUGAUGCAGCAACGCCGCGUGCGGGAUGACGGCCUUCGGGUUGUAAACCGCUUUCGCCUGUGACGAAGCGUGAGUGACGGUAAUGGGUAAAGAAGCACCGGCUAACUACGUG
rnacentral:rRNA from 1 species